UACGGGGGGGGCAAGCGUUGUUCGGAAUUACUGGGCGUAAAGGGCUCGUAGGUGGCCAACUAAGUCAGACGUGAAAUCCCUCGGCUUAACCGGGGAACUGCGUCUGAUACUGGAUGGCUAGAGAUUGGGAGAGGGAUGCGGAAUUCCAGGUGUAGUGGUGAAAUGCGCAGAUAUCAGAAGGAACACCAGCGGCGAAGGCGGCUUACUGGUCCGGUUCUGACGCUGAGGCGCGAAAGCGUGGGGAGCAAACAGG
rnacentral:rRNA from 1 species